rnacentral:rRNA from 1 species
UACGUAGGGUCCGAGCGUUGUCCGGAAUUAUUGGGCGUAAAGGGCUCGUAGGCGGUCUGUCGCGUCGGGUGUGAAAACUUACAGCUUAACUGUGAGCGUGCUUCCGAUACGGGCAGACUUGAGGUAUUCAGGGGAGAACGGAAUUCCUGGUGUAGCGGUGAAAUGCGCAGAUAUCAGGAGGAACACCGGUGGCGAAGGCGGUUCUCUGGGAAUAUCCUGACGCUGAGGAGCGAAAGUGUGGGGAGCGAACAGG